rnacentral:rRNA from 1 species
AGAGUUUGAUCAUGGCCCAGAUUGAACGCUGGCGGCAUGCCUAACACAUGCAAGUCGAACGGUAACAGAACUAGCUUGCUAGUUGCUGACGAGUGACGGACGGGUGAGUAAUAUAUAGGGAUCUGCCUAAUAGUGGGGGACAACGUGUGGAAACGCACGCUAAUACCGCAUACGCUCUACGGAGGAAAGUGGGGGAUCUUCGGACCUCAUGCUAUUAGAUGAACCUGUAUCGGAUUAGCUUGUUGGUGAGGUAAUGGCUCACCAAGGCGACGAUCCGUAGCUGGUUUGAGAGAAUGAUCAGCCACACUGGGACUGAGACACGGCCCAGACUCCUACGGGAGGCAGCAGUGGGGAAUAUUGCACAAUGGACGAAAGUCUGAUGCAGCAAUGCCGCGUGUGUGAAGAAGGCCUUCGGGUUGUAAAGCACUUUCAGAUGUGAGGAAAAGCAGUCUAUUAAUACUAGAUUGCCGUGACGUUAACAUCAGAAGAAGGACCGGCUAACUCCGUGCCAGCAGCCGCGGUAAUACGGAGGGUCCAAGCGUUAAUCGGAAUUACUGGGCGUAAAGCGCGCGUAGGCGGAUAUUUAAGUCAGAUGUGAAAUCCCUGGGCUCAACCUAGGAACUGCAUUUGAAACUGGAUAUCUAGAGUAUGGUAGAGGUGAGUGGAAUUUCAGGUGUAGCGGUGAAAUGCGUAGAGAUCUGAAGGAACAUCAGUGGCGAAGGCGACUCACUGGGCCAUUACUGACGCUGAGGUGCGAAAGCGUGGGUAGCAAACAGGAUUAGAUACCCUGGUAGUCCACGCCCUAAACGAUGUCAACUAGGUGUGUGAGAGUCUAACUCUUGCGUAUCGAAGCUAACGCGAUAAGUUGACCGCCUGGGGAGUACGGUCGCAAGACUAAAACUCAAAUGAAUUGACGGGGGCCCGCACAAGCGGUAGAGCAUGUGGUUUAAUUCGAUGCAACGCGAAGAACCUU